rnacentral:rRNA from 1 species
UACGAAGGGGGCUAGCGUUGCUCGGAAUUACUGGGCGUAAAGCGCACGUAGGCGGACUCUUAAGUCGGUGGUGAAAUCCUGGAGCUCAACUCCAGAACUGCCUUCGAUACUGGGAGUCUUGAGUUCGGGAGAGGUGAGUGGAACUGCGAGUGUAGAGGUGAAAUUCGUAGAUAUUCGCAAGAACACCAGUGGCGAAGGCGGCUCACUGGCCCGAUACUGACGCUGAGGUGCGAAAGCGUGGGGAGCAAACAGG